AUCGGGGAUUGGUGUUACAUAUUAGGAACUGACCCUGAACAUGAUGUUCAAAGUCAUUAAACGCUCUUGGAAGAAGAAGCAAUGACUUUAUCUUCGGGGCUGAACAUCCUCAGUUGGAAUCCCUUGAAACUCUGGGCCAGUGAUGUUGGCUUAAUGCCAGAAAGACCAGGCACUAACAUAUUUUGAAUAUGAUGUCACAGACAAAGUACAGGAAAUGAUUAUCACCGGGCAGAUAAAAGGAAAAUAUCUUAAAAGAGAAUAUAAACUUCUUAACCUACUCUAGAGGCAUCACGGUGAAAAUUUCUGUGCACCAGAGAAAGAAAACUCGGUAAUGUGUGUAAGGAGUGCUUUGCAUAUGUGUGAGGUUAGAGAAAAAGCCACACCUGGAUUGCAAAUGUAUUGGCUCCAUCUAUGAGUGUUCUUCUACCAAUCCUGAAACAAGAAAAUUAUUAUUUUUGUGUU